rnacentral:rRNA from 1 species
AGGACAAACGCUGGCGGCGUACCUAAGACAUGCAAGUCGAACGGGCGCUUCACCUUCGGGUGGGUGUGCUAGUGGCGGACGGGUGAGUAACGCGUAGGAACCUGUCAUCAAGAGGGGGAUAACGCUGGGAAACCGGCGCUAAUACCGCAUGUGGUCAUGAAAAUGAAGAAAGCAGCAAUGCGCUUGAUGAGGGGCCUGCGUCCGAUUAGCUUGUUGGUGGGGUAAAGGCCUACCAAGGCAUCGAUCGGUAGCUGGUCUGAGAGGAUGGUCAGCCACACUGGGACUGAGACACGGCCCAGACUCCUACGGGAGGCAGCAGUUAGGAAAUUUUCCCAAUGGGCGCAAGCCUGAGGGAGUAACGCCGCGUGGAGGAUGACGGCUUUCGGGUUGUAAACUCCUUUCUGUGGGAAGAGUAGAAGACGGUACCGCAGGAAUAAGCCUCGGCUAACUACGCGCCAGCAGCCGC